GAAAUGAACAGAGGAGGCGGCAGCAGGGAGGUAGCCAAAACGCAGUGGGAGAGAUUUAAGUUAUAUGGGAGAUGCAAUGAAUUCAUGUGUUAACAGAAAGGGGUCCUGAUUCAGACACCAAAAGAGGGUUCUUGAAUCUCAUGCCAGAAAGAUUUCGGGAUUCUCACCCUGUUGCCUAGGCUGGAGUGCAGUGACGCGAUUUUGGCCUAAUGCAGCCUCUGCCUCCCAGGUUCAAGCGAUUCUUCCGCCUCAGCCUCCCUAGUAACUGGGAUUACAGGUAAGAAUUUUGACACCAGGAAAUCUUUUUCCAGCACCCAGCCUGUUAUUCCGCCUUUCAUAUUCAUACGGCAGAUGUAAGUCCAAAACAGAAAGGCCUUGCCUAGGAAAGUGAAUGAUAAGCAAAUCUAAUUGAGAAAAAAACCAACCAGAGUCAGUGUCCAGUAAUGGCUCUGCAAUGCGCAGCCUCCGAAUGUGACGACCACAGGCUCUGCUUGCCUUUUACCUGACUGCCAGCACCCUGCAGAGCAGCAUCAAAGAAACUAUGGCUACUGGAGGAAGAAGAGGGAGAAGGUGAACUCCAUAAACUAUAAAUAGGCUUAGCGUGAAAGACUGCCACUGGCUAUCUUAGUCUUGUAUUUCCUUUACCAUCCAUGGUACCAGAGAAGGAAGAGUGUUUCUCUUUAUGGCCUCAGCAAAAAUUCUGUGGAAGGUGUUGAUUGACCCGAUUUGGGCCAUGUCCUACAAUCAUGGAGGCCAGAGCCAUUGGAUAUUUCAAUUGGCCGGGCUGAGAGCUACAGAACAUCCCUGUAGUGAACAAUGAAGAGAUUCUGGAGGCCAGAAAUUUGAAAUGAGUCUUAUGGAGCUGAAAUCAAGCACAAACCAAAGCUGGGCUUCAUCUGGAUGCUCUAUGAAAGAUUCCUUUGCUCGCCUCUUCCAAUUCCUGGUGGUUGCUGGCAUUCCUUGCAUUGUAGACUCGUCAUCCCAACGUCUUCCUCCUUGGCCCCAUUGCCUUCUCCUCUCCUGUGUGGGCAUCAUCAACUCUCCCUUUCCCUCCCUCUUAAAAGGAUAUGAAUGUGACUGCUUUAGGACCUACCUGGAUAAUUCAGAAUAAUCUCCCCAUCUCAAGACCCUUAACAUAAUCACAUAUGCAAAGAACUUCUCUUUUCUUUAAUCAUAUGAGUUAACAUGUACAAAUUUCAGAGAUGAGAACAUGGAUAUCUUUAGGGUGCCAUUUUUUCAGUCCAUUGGAAAUGGUAGAUGUGGAAGAAGAGGAGCUAAAAUUCAAUCAGACUAGGGGUCUGCAAUCUGUAGCCUGCAAGUCAGUGCCUGUUUUUGUAAAUAAAGUUUUAUUGGAGCACA